GACGAACCGUGCGAACGUUGUUCGGAAUCACUGGGCUUAAAGGGCGCGUAGGCGGGCUCGCAAGUCUGCGGUGAAAGCCCCCAGCUUAACUGGGGAAGUGCCGUGGAUACUGCGGGCCUUGAGGAGGGUAGGGGCAUCUGGAACAUUGGGUGGAGCGGUGAAAUGCGUUGAUAUCCAAUGGAACUCCGGUGGCGAAGGCGAGGUGCUGGACCCUUUCUGACGCUGAGGCGCGAAAGCCAGGGGAGCGAACGGGG
rnacentral:rRNA from 1 species